CCUACGGGUGGCAGCAGUGAGGAAUAUUGGUCAAUGGGAGGAAUCCUGAACCAGCCAUGCCGCGUGCAGGACGACGGCUCUACGAGUUGUAAACUGCUUUUGUACCGGGGUAAAAUGCGCUACGAGUAGGGUUUUGAAAGUACGGUACGAAUAAGGAUCGGCUAACUCCGUGCCAGCAGCCGCGGUAAUACGGAGGAUCCGAGCGUUAUCCGGAUUCCUUGGGUUUAAAGGGUGCGUAGGUGGUUUUAUCAGUUAGCGGUGAAAUACCGAUGCUCAACAUCGGGGCUGCCGCUCAUACUGUCGGACUAGACCUCGGAUGCAGCAGUCGUAAUGUGUCGUGUAGCGG
rnacentral:rRNA from 1 species